AACAAGACUAUGAUAAGGAAUAGUAAAUUUAUUUGAUUUUCAAGAGAGCUAGCGGGUGGUGUGAGCUAGUAAAUGGAUAAAUUGAACUCGCCUUGGAGUCUGCAAUGGUGAAUACAAGUGUAACCAAAGCCGUUUUCCGCGUUAAGGAGUCAAGUUGAGUGUAAUACACUAAUUUGGGUGGUACCGCGGGAACCUUUUUAAGCUCUCGUCCCUUUU
rnacentral:ncRNA from 1 species